UACGUAGGGGGCGAGCGUUGUCCGGAGUUACUGGGCGUAAAGCGCACGCAGGCGGUCUGCUAAGUUUGGAGUGACAGUUGGUGGCUUAACUGCCAAAGUGCUUCGAAAACUGACAGACUUGAGGGCUUCAGAGGGACACGGAAUUCCGGGUGGAGUGGUGAAAUGCGUAGAUAUCUGGAAGAACACCAAUGGCGAAGGCACCAUCCUGGGAAGCAUCUGACGCUCAGGUGCGAAAGCUAGGGGAGCGAACGGG
rnacentral:rRNA from 1 species